CCUACGGGAGGCUGCAGUGGGGAAUAUUGCACAAUGGGGGAAACCCUGAUCCAGCGACGCCGCGUGAGUGAAGAAGUAUUUCGGUAUGUAAAGCUCUAUCAGCAGGGAAGCAAUCGCGACCUUUGGGUCGCCAGACGGUACCUGAUUAAGAAGCGCCGGCUAACUACGUGCCAGCAGCCGCGGUAAUACGUAGGGGGCAAGCGUUAUCCGGAUUUACUGGGUGUAAAGGGAGCGUAUAAGGCAGCGCAAGUCUGAAGUGAAAUGCCGGGGCUUAACCCCGGAACUGCUUUGGAAACUGUGCAGCUAGAGUGCAGGAGAGGUAAGUGGAAUUCCUAGUGUAGCGGUGAAAUGCGUAGAUAUUAGGAGGAACACCAGUGGCGAAGGCGGCUUACUGGACUGUAACUGACGUUGAGGCUCGAAAGCGUGGGGAGCAAACAGGAUUAGAUACCCCAGUAGUC
rnacentral:rRNA from 1 species